rnacentral:sRNA from 1 species
AUACCUGAGGCGCAGGAAGCGCUCAGGAUCAUGGAUGAUCGACCAACUGCCAGGACGGCUUCCGGAUGGAUUCGGACUGGUCACGAAAAACCCGCUUCGGCGGGUUUUU